rnacentral:rRNA from 1 species
UACGAAGGGGGCUAGCGUUGCUCGGAAUUACUGGGCGUAAAGCGUGCGUAGACGGUUAUUUAAGUCGGGUGUGAAAGCCCCGGGCUCAACCUGGGAAUUGCAUUCGAGACUGAAUAGCUAGGGUACGGUAGAGGGAAGUGGAAUUUCCGGUGUAGCUGGUGAAAUGCGUAGAUAUCGGAAGGAACAUCAGUGGCGAAAGCGACUUCCUGGACCAGUACCGAC